rnacentral:tRNA from 1 species
GUGGAUGUAGCUCAGUUGGUAGAGCCCCGGAUUGUGGUUCCGGUCGUCGUGGGUUCGAGUCCCAUCAUCCACCCCA